rnacentral:rRNA from 1 species
CCUACGUGCGGCAGCAGUGGGGAAUAUUGGACAAUGGGCGAAAGCCUGAUCCAGCCAUGCCGCGUGUGUGAAGAAGGCCUUCGGGUUGUAAAGCACUUUCAGUGGGGAAGAAAGCCUUGGGGCUAAUACCCUCGAGGAAGGACAUCACCCACAGAAGAAGCACCGGCUAACUCCGUGCCAGCAGCCGCGGUAAUACGGAGGGUGCGAGCGUUAAUCGGAAUUACUGGGCGUAAAGCGCGCGUAGGUGGUCUGAUAAGCCGGUUGUGAAAGCCCCGGGCUCAACCUGGGAACGGCAUCCGGAACUGUCAGGCUAGAGUGCAGGAGAGGAAGGUAGAAUUCCCGGUGUAGCGGUGAAAUGCGUAGAGAUCGGGAGGAAUACCAGUGGCGAAGGCGGCCUUCUGGACUGACACUGACGCUGAGGUGCGAAAGCGUGGGUAGCAAACAGGAUUAGAUACCCUGGUAGUC